UUAUACAUUAAUAUCCUGUAUAUAAUUUCAUUGAUCGUGAAAAACUACAUUACAAACUUUAAAACACAAUGCAAAGUGAUACUACACGAAAAAGUAAUAUUAUCCUGAUUCUCAAGGAUGUAGAUCGAGUUGGAUCCUGCGAAAGAGGUAACUCUCCGAGGAAAGCUCGGGUGAGGGCGAGUGGAGGCGCGCUUGUCGCGAUCCUCGGAACCCAGCCAACAACAGGCCGUGGCUUGUACAAGUGUAUUUAGGGUUACGACGCGACGCGGCUCCACUGUGGAAAACCAGAGACACCUGACGGUGUGUUCGAUAUUGAAACAUCCGCGAAUUAAUUUGCGCAAAUCUUUUUUUUUUUUUCGUUGCUUUCUUUGUAAAGAAGAAGAUAUACAAUUGGUUCCUUGGAAUUAUUCGGUUA